rnacentral:rRNA from 1 species
UACGAAGGGGGCUAGCGUUGCUCGGAAUCACUGGGCGUAAAGGGUGCGUAGGCGGCUUUUUAAGUCUGGUGUGAAAUCUCCCGGCUCAACUGGGAGGGUGCGCCGGAUACUGAGGGGCUAGAGUGUGGGAGAGGAAAGUGGAAUUCCUGGUGUAGCGGUGAAAUGCGUAGAUAUCAGGAGGAACACCGGUGGUGUAAACGGCUUUCUGGACCAUAACUGACGCUGAGGCACGAAAGCGUGGGUAGCAAACAGG